rnacentral:rRNA from 1 species
AUUGAACGCUGGCGGCAUGCCUUACACAUGCAAGUCGAACGGUAACAGGUCUUCGGAUGCUGACGAGUGGCGAACGGGUGAGUAAUACAUCGGAACGUGCCUAGUAGUGGGGGACAACUACUCGAAAGAGUGGCUAAUACCGCAUGAGAUCUACGGAUGAAAGCAGGGGAUCGCAAGACCUUGUGCUACUAGAGCGGCCGAUGGCAGAGUAGGUAGUUGGUGGGAUAAAAGCUUACCAAGCCGACGAUCUGUAGCUGGUCUGAGAGGACGAUCAGCCACACUGGGACUGAGACACGGCCCAGACUCCUACGGGAGGCAGCAGUGGGGAAUUUUGGACAAUGGGCGCAAGCCUGAUCCAGCAAUGCCGCGUGCAGGAUGAAGGCCUUCGGGUUGUAAACUGCUUUUGUACGGAGCGAAAAGGUCCUUUCUAAUACAAGGGGCUCAUGACGGUACCGUAAGAAUAAGCACCGGCUAACUACGUGCCAGCAGCCGCCGUAA